rnacentral:rRNA from 1 species
UAACCGACCCAAGCAGCCGCACUUCCAGACUAACCACGUCGGAGGACCUUUCGGGUAACCGGGGGGUUAGGGGUGUCGGCGGGCGGGCGUGGAGAGGGCGGAGGCCAGGAGGGAAGAGAGUCGGCGGUGGGGUGCUUGGGAUCGGCACGGGAGGACGUAGACAGGAGGAGGGGGAAGGACCAGGCAGGGUUCGGGGAGGAGCAGAGUACUCGAUCGGCUCCUUUUCUCCCCACUGCGCUGCUGGACCAGCAGCCGGCCACCCCUCGGAGCAUCUCCGCCACCGCCUCUGCUGGGAUCUACCACGGGGCCGGUUCUAGACCUGUCCCACGGAGUUGGAGCAGAAGGAGAAGGUGGAUGAGCGACUAUCUCUCUGCCGUCGUCGCCACCCUCCUCGGAUCCGCAUCUCCUCUCUUCACCUGCUCCCCCCACGUUUCCGUCCUCUACCCCCAGCGGCCUACUCGUGUCAGCGUGUCCCGGACUAGGGCGGCGACGAUCUCGUCUCACCUCCUGGUGUACCGGGCUACCCCACCGACCCUCGCACGCCUAAGACCGAGGGUUCGUCCCUUACGUCACCACGACCGGAGAGGAGAGGGACGCGGAAACAGGACGCAGCAGUGAUGGCGGUGCCGGAAAGAGCGGUAACUGGAGGGGUUCACGAAGAGAGGUGUUUACCACGGCGGUACAGGUCUAGUUAAGUUCGCGGUCCUUUCAUGUUGUGCACGUAUUGAACAAACUCCUUUAAGGUAGACCUUCGUUAUAAACUAGUACUGAACACAAGAACUACGAAGUAGACGCCGAUCGACUGAUGUUGUAGUGUAUACAUUUCCCUUUGGUAGCAUUCUUUGUGUCUACUUUAACCACCAAGUACCUCUGGGUUCCACGUGACUGUCUUCUAUAGUCUCCUCGUCUCCUUUUACGUUCACACAUACACACUUUUUAAUAACGAAAUUGAGUUCUAGUCAACAAGCAAGAAAGUUCGCGAUACAACGAAUGAGUUUACAAACACCGCUAACAUAGGAACACGGUACUUAUAAAAAAUGAAUCGUCUAGUUAUAUUUGUAUAACCGAUAGAUAAAUGGUUAAGACUUAAAUUUCGUGAAAUAAAAUACCGGAAGUCAUUUUCAAGUCAGUAACAACCGACCUUCUGUAGAAGUUAUGCGGCAGUUGUGCUCGAAUGGUUCCAUUACUAGAUAAAUAAUAGUCGGGUAUAGACCAAACAUUGUCCCAAUAAUACAAAGUUUUAGGAGACCGUAGUCUUUCCUCUAAAACACCUACUACAUUCUAUAGGUGUACAACAUAUACACCUUUUUGGUUUCCGAGCCCUACAACUAAAAAGCCUACUUUACUAAAUAGUCCGUUUUUGAUGUUCACUUUACCUUCUUCAUUGCGAGUUUUCGGACUUAUCUUAAGGAACCGUUUCCCAUCUACAAUCGAAGUUCUCUUCAUCUGUUACCUAAAAACGGGUAUCGUGGUAAGUCCAGGUCAACAGCAACGGAAGUGAACGAAACAGCAAAUGGGUAGACAGUCGAGCGGCUAGGGGACUGAACGACAGUUCAACUCUAGCUCCUCUCUCGUUCGGCAACGUCUCCUCUCCCCUAUGCUCCCACCCGCCUCCAGUCCGUAACGAUUGUCUAAACGCCGCCUCACCCUCUCCACUGCGGCCGGCCGGCCGCGGAGUGGUGGCCGAGGACAAACCGCCACCGUUUCUCUUCCCACGGCUCCUACACAACGAGAUACGUACCGACAACUUCAUGUAGUAGCAAUACUACACAUACCAAAGAGAUAAAAGUCGGGAUGACGAGGUCUAGGGUUUAGGGUACUGGUACGGGGGUGGAGAGGAAGCAACUUACUUCCCUCAGACCAACGAUUUUUCACUGAAAAGAAUUAGUCAUACAUACCGGGGAGACGUGUACGGCAAAGAAGCAUAAAUUCUCCGGGAGUUCGAAACAGUCAAAAGACUAUCUAUACCUUAAAAUUAAACUAUCAGGGUUGUUGCCACCCAUGACUACCUCGAUAGAUAAUAAAUAACAGUUAGACAUUAUGAAAACAGUCGAAGAUCGUACACCAACGAGAUGGUCUCACGUUAAAAGAGACGCACCGUAUGUGGUCAAUGGUAAUCAACUAUACAAACAACUUCAAAAUAAUGUUCAAUUUAUUUACACAUCACACCGUUUGACUAAUAAUAUUAAACUAUUACAGUCCGCGGCUACCGAAAUAUCUAUACAUUUAUUUUAUGGAAAUUCAUUUUGAUUCGUAAAUUAAUAACAAUACAAUACGAUAACUAAAGUGGACUGAAAUACAGCCGGCUAAUCAAGACUUCCUAAGGUGUAGCCGAUUAAAUCUAAUAAAAUGAUCUCAUAAUCUUCUUCAAGGACUAUAUACAUGAAUCUCGUAAACGACUCUAAACUACGUUUUAUAACUACUGGUCCGUAAUAUGACGCGUAUUCGUGUUAAAAAAUCAAAAAUAAAAAUAACAACGUCGUCGAAAAGAUAUCGUUAUCGGUUUAUCACACUGUAUUGUGAUAAGGUAAAAGUGUCCGGUAUUGUGUAGAAAUGUACAUUCAAACAAGAGAUCUAUCAAGAGAAAGGUUCUAAAAGUAUAGUAUAAACAGCACCCUAGACUGACGAAAUGGUAUAAAAGUACCACACCUGCUACAAUAUCUCACUCGAUGGUAGUGAAGAGUAAUGACUGACAUUAAUUAUAUAUACACAAAUACGGUAUUUUCUACCUGUAAACAGCUUAGGUAACAGCACGUACAUUAAUGAACGUCUAGUUGAUAUAUCAAAACAAGCCUAACAUUUCACCUUUGCUAUUUUGGGAUGUUGAGUACACACUAACAGAAAACUAAUAAAUGAAGGAGUUCAUUAUACCUAUACCACGACGCUCCUAUAAUUCAUAUAAGUACUUCAACAUAUUUAGUGCAAGAUGCUAAGUGAAGACAAUACGUAUAAAUGAAAGGUCAAAAUCCUGGCUCUAGGUAGGUAACAUUACUUAAACCAACAUACCCGUAAUGGAUAAACUGAAUCCAAACGAAGUAGUGUAUAUCUGACGAAAAGAAAAGGGG